rnacentral:rRNA from 1 species
CAGCCGCCGCGGGAAUACGUAGGUGGCAAGCGUUGUCCGGAAUUAUUGGGCGUAAAGGGCUCGCAGGCGGUUUCUUAAGUCUGAUGUGAAAGCCCCCGGCUCAACCGGGGAGGGUCAUUGGAAACUGGGAAACUUGAGUGCAGAAGAGGAGAGUGGAAUUCCACGUGUAGCGGUGAAAUGCGUAGAGAUGUGGAGGAACACCAGUGGCGAAGGCGACUCUCUGGUCUGUAACUGACGCUGAGGAGCGAGAGCGUGGGGAGCGAACAGGAUUAGAGACCCCUGUAGUCCCUGUCUCUUAUAA